AUAACAAUACGUGACUCUUUUGAGACCCGAAAUUGGGAUGAGUAAACUCUAAAUCCUUUAACGAGGAUCAAUUAGAGGGCGAAUCUUCUUCCAGCAGCCGCGAUAAUUCCAGUUCCAA
rnacentral:rRNA from 1 species